AACGAACGCUGGCGGCAUGCCUAACACAUGCAAGUCGAACGGGAUCCUAGCUUGCUAGGUGAGGGUGGCGGACGGGUGAGUAACACGUGGGAAUCUGCCUUUUGGUUCGGGAUAACCGCGGGAAACUGCGGCUAAUACCGAAUGCCCUCGAGAGAGGAAAGAUUUAUCGCCAGAAGAGGAGCCCGCGUCCGAUUAGGUAGUUGGUGGGGUAAAGGCCUACCAAGCCGACGAUCGGUAGCUGGUCUGAGAGGAUGAUCAGCCACACUGGGACUGAGAUACGGCCCAGACUCCUACGGGAGGCAGCAGUGGGGAAUAUUGGACAAUGGGGGCAACCCUGAUCCAGCAAUGCCGCGUGAGUGAUGAAGGCCUUAGGGUUGUAAAGCUCUUUUGCCAGGGAAGAUGAUGACUGUACCUGGAGAAUAAGCCCCGGCUAACUUCGUGCCAGCAGCCGCGGUAAU
rnacentral:rRNA from 1 species